CCGUGCUAGACGGGGAGCUAGCGGUGCCCUAUACCCGCAAUCCGCUAUAGCGGGGUGUAAUUCCUCCCCUAGGCCAAACUUGUUGGACCUCUGUCAGGAGAUGACAGUGCUGAUGGCUGGGUCCCACGCGGCGCAGGCUUGUGAACCCCGCCAGGUCCGAGAGGAAGCAACGGUAAACAGGACCCUGCGGGUGCCGUGGGAACGCCUGGCCUGAGCUGCAACCCCUGAAAUGUUCAGCGCGUUUUCGUCAACCGGGGGGUGCGCGG
rnacentral:SRP_RNA from 1 species